rnacentral:rRNA from 1 species
GACGAACGCUGGCGGCGUGCUUAACACAUGCAAGUCGAACGGAAAGGCCCUGCUUGCAGGGUGCUCGAGUGGCGAACGGGUGAGUAACACGUGGGUGAUCUGCCCCUUACUUUGGGAUAAGCCUGGGAAACUGGGUCUAAUACUGGAUAGGACCAUGCUGUAGGUGGUGUGGUGGAAAGAUUAGUUUCGGUAAGGGAUGAGCUCGCGGCCUAUCAGCUUGUUGGUGGGGUAAUGGCCUACCAAGGCGUCGACGGGUAGCCGGCCUGAGAGGGUGGACGGCCACAUUGGGACUGCGAUACGGCCCAGACUCCUACGGGAGGCAGCAGUGGGGAAUAUUGCACAAUGGGCGCAAGCCGGAUGCAGCGACGCCGCGUGGGGGGUGACGGCCUUCGGGUUGUAAACUCCUUUCAGCCAUGACGAAGCCCUUGUGGUGACGGUAGUGGUAGAAGAAGCACCGGCUAACUACGUG